rfam:Trichobilharzia regenti genome assembly, scaffold: TRE_scaffold0054832
GUACUACUGAAGAGUCCCAAACUAAGACGAAACAGCUAUCCAGUAC